ACACAAGAGAAGUGCCCCAAGAGAGCACUAGAGAGGUGUGUGGCACUCCGAUGAACAAAACAGAGUGGAGAUCGGGUACGCGGGUUCUGCUUCAGAUCCAAAAAACCCUUGGUGCCCACCCUAGAAUCUGGCCGGGGCAUCCACAGACCUGGUGUGUUCCCUCUGUGCACACUUGUGACUCACACCCCUGCGAGCUCGGAUAACACGAAGACACACCUGUUGCAGAGCGUUAAAGCUGGAAGGUGGACAAACAGGGCGGGGCCCGGCACCCGACUUCCCCUUAGGCCAGAACAAAAGAACAAAGCCCUCCAAGGGAUCAGGGCGGGACCGCCCCGCACAGAAGGAGGCGAGGUGCGCCCCCUUCGAGGACUCCCCAGCUUUCUCCUGCAGAGGCCUCUAAGCGCGAAAUCAGAAGGGUGACGUCACGAGUCCGGAGGGCUGGCUGUUGCCAUGGUGAUACCUGAGCUCCCCUCCC
rnacentral:lncRNA from 1 species